UACAAGCGCAGGGCUCAGGCGCGGCACGCAGAAAAACGCUACGUGCGAUGCGCGAUAAAUACACGCAGCCUGGGCCGCCGCGCCAGAACGCGAACGCGAAACGCCCGGCGAUAAAUAAACAAAAUUGAACAACAAAAAAAUCGUGCGCGCCGCGUGCAUCCAACGCGCGCAGCGCACACCGCGACACAAAGAAACCACCGCGGCGAGCGCGAGCGCUCUCGAGCAAAACCAAUUUGGUAAAAGUUUCUUUCCUCCCGGCAUCGAAGAGGAGAAGAGAAAAAAAAGCAAGCUGAAAACGCGACCACGUCAACGCGCAAUAUCCAACAAGACGCGAAAAUUUCAAAGAUGUUACAAGAGAUGCACAAAUUCAGCAAGAUUUGUGAAUUCCAAUCGAGCAUCGACAUUCCACACCGCUGAUAUUCAGGGUAUUGCAUGAAGGCCGUAAAUAAAUCCGAGAUUCCAAUGAAAUGGACGGUUUUGUUAGGGCACAUUCUAUGUGGUGCUGAAGAAUAGGUGAAAAUGGCAUGAAUAUCCACAAAAUGCAAAUGCGUCUUUCUAGUUACAGAUUGGAGUGUUUGGGAAACUGUCCUCUAGAUGGCAGCACUUAAUUUAAAUUUCUUCAUAAAUAUAGAAGGCCAACAUUUGUUGUUUAUUCAAUACAGUCAUAAUACUAAAUUUUGCUUGCAUUAGAA